rnacentral:rRNA from 1 species
GGAAGUAAAAGUCGUAACAAGGUCUCCGUUGGUGAACCAGCGGAGGGAUCAUUACAGAGUUUACAACUCCCAAACCCAAAUGUGAACAUACCAAUCGUUGCUUCGGCGGACUCGUCCCGGCGUCCGGGUGGCCUUGCGCUGCCCGCGGCCCGGAUCCAGGCGGCCGCCGGAGGCCAUCAAACUCUUUGUAUUACCAGUAUCUUCUGAAUCCGCCGCAAGGCAAAACAAAUGAAUCAAAACUUUCAACAACGGAUCUCUUGGUUCUGGCAUCGAUGAAGAACGCAGCGAAAUGCGAUAAGUAAUGUGAAUUGCAGAAUUCAGUGAAUCAUCGAAUCUUUGAACGCACAUUGCGCCCGCCAGCAUUCUGGCGGGCAUGCCUGUUCGAGCGUCAUUUCAACCCUCGAGCUCCCUUUGGGGAGCCCGGCGUUGGGGACCGGCCUCUACCGCCGCCCCCGAAAUACAGUGGCGGCCCCGUCACGGCGACCUCUGCGUAGUAACUUAACCUCGCACCGGAAACCCGACGUGGCCACGCCGUAAAACACCCCACUUCUGAACGUUGACCUCGGAUCAGGUAGGAAUACCCGCUGAACUUAAGCAUAUCAAUAAGCGGAGGA